rnacentral:rRNA from 1 species
UACGUAGGGGGCAAGCGUUGUCCGGAUUUAUUGGGCGUAAAGAGCGUGUAGGCGGCUUUGCAAGUCCGUUGUGAAAACUCGAGGCUCAACCUCGAGACGCCGGUGGAAACUGCAAAGCUAGAGUCCGGAAGAGGAGAGUGGAAUUCCUGGUGUAGCGGUGAAAUGCGCAGAUAUCAGGAGGAACACCGAUUGCGAAGGCAGCUCGCUGGGACGUAACUGACGCUGAGACGCGAAAGCGUGGGGAGCAAACAGG